GAUUGUACUUCCUCCACUCCGCUGAAAGCUUACUGACUUCCCACUCUCCUCAGCCACAGUGACUCACAGCAGCUGCAGGAGAUCACCCAGAAUCCUGUAUGGGUUUCUUUUUCUAUAAACAGGUCAAGAAUUGCUGAGGAGGAAGCAUACCCAAGCAAUUACUGAGCCAACUAUCCUAAUUCAGCUGUGAGUCCUCAAGAUCUGCACCAACUGAAGUUAUUUAGCGAUUUCAGAUGAGAUCUGAGCUUGAGCUUCUCAAAUAUGUGUGACCAGUAGGGAACAAUGUCAGCAGGCUUUGGGGGGAGGAGGGGAAGGCCUGCAGCCUUGCCAUCAGAUCUACUACACCCUGUCCUGACCUCCUCCAACCAACAAGGUAGUAAAUAUCAAGCCAUCUAGAGUUGGAAAAUCAGGGUUGUUUUCCUCUUUAAACAAUCUGGUGGGUGGGGCUGGGGAUAUGGCCUAGUGGCAAGAGUGCC